rnacentral:lncRNA from 1 species
AUGGGCUUGUAUCAUGUUGGAGCCCCUCCAUGUGCCUCUACUGCAAGACAGGAGCAUCUCAGCCUUGCAGCCUGGAUGGCAGGUCCAGGUGCACCAGCACCAUCUCCUCGAAAACACGCACGGGGCCGCCGAAGAAACCACGGCAGUGAGAACGCAUCCUCUCUUUCCUCACAGCCUAUCAGCGUCAUUACGACUUUCAGCAAAGGCCGAACCCAUGGGACCGAAGAGGCUGAGACAUCUGCUGUGCGCUGGCCAAGGAUCAGUGGGUUUCUGAUAAGAAGUGCACCUUGGGCUUCUGUUAGAAAAGUGGGGCUCACUGUCUGGAUGAACGAGACAAUAAUUUGACUGGUGUCUCCUGAGCUUGUGUAGUGUACACCUUGCAGAGCUGUAUGUAGUGGCACCGCUAGUUCCCGAUGGACCAAGAGAGAGCUGGUGCCCGGGGACUUUUUGUUCGGUAGAUAGAUAAAUGAAAGCAAUGGUGCCAUUACCACCCUUGUCACUUCCCUACUAAGGAAGAGGUGACAGGCAACCCUGACAAAACAGGUCACACUUGACUUGAUCCAGCUAUAGAAAUCACCAAAGCUGCUGCGUUGGGGAGGAAACAGAGAGGCCGUGACUCUGACAGUUAUUAGUAGAAACAUGCCUCUUGAAGGUCUCUCUCCAUUCCUUGGUAUGGGUGACAAUUUGAGGCUGUGUUAUACCGCAAAGAAGUAUCUGUUCAGUGAAUGAGUGGCUGAGUGAAUGCCCUGAGAGGCAGUAGAAGCGGAGGGAUUCCGCAGGUCCCACAAGUUCGACGGUAGGGAUGACUUAGGUUGAAAUCCCUCUUUUGCUGCUUACUAGCUGGGUGGCCUUACUAGAAAGUAAUUUGGCUUUUCUGAGACUCAGUUUUCAAAUUGGUAAUAUAAGGUAAUUGGUAAUAUAUUGUAGGGGUAAAGGAGUUUUUUUUUUUCCUAAUCGCCCAAGUUGGGCUCAAAUUUUUAUUUUAUAAAACAAUAAGACAAAAUUUCACAAUCAAAUAAUAAGAGAAUAACAGCAGUUAUUAUACUGUGAAUCAUUAUCUUCAAAGUAGUUACUCAGAGUACAAGACAUAAACCAAAAAGGUUCUUACAAAAAAGGAAACAAAUAGAUGACACAAACUUUCUUUUCAAUGAACUAGUAAUGUAAAUGAAGCCAAUUAGUGUAUAUAUUGAAAUAAUUUUUAAACAAUAGAAUUUGUAUUUUGAGGAAGUAGUUGAACUCCCUAAUUCCUAUCUCUUCAAUUUUGUUCUUUAUUUGCAUAUAUAUAUUCUUUAUUUGUGUAUAUAUGUUCUUUAUAUAUAUAUAUAUAAUAUAAGAAACUGUCUGAUAUUUUAGCUUGUGUGUCUGACCUAUUUCAUUUAUCAUCAUGUUCUCAAGUUGUAUCCAUUUACCUAUGAGUGCCUCAAGUUUACCUUUCUUAUGGCAGCAUAGUACUCCAAUAUAUGUAAAUAGCAUAUUUUCCUUAUCCAUUUAUUUACUGAUGGCCAUAUGCACUGUUUCCAAUCUAUUGCAAAUUGUGCUGCUAUAAACAUGGGUAUGCAUGUAUGAUUGCUAUAGCUUGUACCUAGAUGUCUCCACAAAGCCUCAUGUUCUCAUAGGUGAGGUCUUUCAGAUGUGGCUGGAUCUAGAGCAUGUGAAUAUGGAAUAAGGGUGUGUAACAACAAAUUUAGUCCACUGAGUGGUUUAGUAUGGUUCUGGGCAUGGAUAAUGGGAAGCCCUACCUUGGGUGCGGGUGGUACCAACAAAUAGGCUUGUUGCCUGGAUAGAAUACAUAUGGAAAAGAAGACUCACUGCUUCUUCCUGCCUGCCCUGCCAUGGACUGUUUCUCUUCUGCCACAUCCCUCUGCCAUGCCACCUUGCCUUGGAGCCAGCUGACUGGACUGAAACUUCUACAGACUGUGAGCUAAAAUAAACCUUUCUUCCU